AAAAACCAAUCCUCCAAGAAGUGUUGAAGCCACAAUCAUCUUAUACAUACGGAGUACAUGGAGAAGGACGUCCAGGCACUAUUGCUCCUUCUCGUAUGUUAUGCUGUUCAUGCACAAUGUUGAGCCAGAGGAGUGCAUCACAUCAACGACGAUACGUGCUACAAGAGUGACACCAUCCCGUCGUGCUUUUUGUGUUACCCCGAUAACCAUUGCUUUAUGACGAUGGACGACUGCAAAGCCCACUGCAUACGACCUCCGGCGGCCGCAAUCCCAUCUUAUGCACGUCCAUGAGCGUGGGCGGUUAGUAUUAGCUGGAAGAAUGUAUUAGAUUUGUGUGAUGUGCCGAUGAGGAAGAACUAUGGAUGAAUAAGAGGCAAUAAACCACAUAGCUGUUUAGUACUCAGCUUUUGUUGACAA